AUGCGUAUGUUGAGAUGGAUGUGUGGCCACACGAGGAAGGAUCGAGUCCGGAAUGAUGAUAUACGAGAUAGAGUUGGGGUAGCACCAAUUGAGGAGAAGCUUGUCCAACAUCGUUUGAGGUGGUUUGGGCAUAUUCAGCGCAGGCCUCCAGAAGCUCCAGUGCAUAGCGGACGGCUAAAGCGUGCGGAGAAUGUCAAGAGAGGGCGGGGUCGACCGAUUUUGACAUGGGAGGAGUCCGUUAAGAGAGACCUGAAGGAUUGGAGUAUCGACAAAGAGCUAGCUAUGGACAGGGGUGCGUGGAAGCUUGCUAUCCAUGUGCCAGAGCCAUGA
rnacentral:rRNA from 1 species